AUCGUUCAUCUUCGAGAGAAGACGGAAGUAGGUGAAAGCUGAAGGAACGCGAC
rnacentral:ncRNA from 10 species